rnacentral:rRNA from 1 species
CUACGGAGGGUCCGAGCGUUAAUCGGAAUUAUUGGGCGUAAAGGGUGCGUAGGCGGUUAUUUAAGUUUAAGGUUAAAGUUCAGGGCUCAAACCUGUGAUGCCUUAGAAACUGGAUAGCUAGAGUACAGGAGAGGUUAGUGGAAUUCCAUGUGUAGCGGUAAAAUGCGUAGAUAUAUGGAGGAACACCAGUGGCGAAGGCGGCUAACUGGCCUGUAACUGACGCUCAGGCACGAAAGCGUGGGGAGCAAAUAGGAUUAGAUACCCUAGUAGUCCACGCCGUAAACGAUGAAUACUAAGUGUUGGGGUAAAACUCAGUGCUGCAGUUAACGCAAUAAGUAUUCCGCCUGGGGAGUAUGCGCGCAAGCGUAAAACUCAAAUGAAUUGACGGGG